UCGACCGACGGCGAUAAUAUUACUCGGGUAAUGAUACAAUCAAUGCGUGUAUGUAAUUAUUAUAAUAUAUAUAUAUAUAUAUAUGCAGACCGGUAUGCAAGUAUGUGUGUGUGUGUGUGUGUGUGUGUGUGUGCGCGCGUUAUUAAUUACCUCGAG